UCUCAUCCUACGGUCCAUGGCUAGCCUGAUAGAACGCAAGUCCUCAUCCUUCUUGGGUUCCCUGACCUGAUCCGAUUCCCACCCGCACCGUCGCCGCCGCCGCCGCCGCCGCCGCAAUGUCCUUCUCUCAGCCUUUCCACCCCGACCUGGUCAGGCACCGACCUCAGCCCUAUAGCCACGACCCCCCUCCUCCCCACCGCCCCCGCCGCCGCGGCCGUGACCAUGACGACGCGUACCACGCCCAUUCCCAAUCGUACCCCCAGCCAUGUCCCCAUGCCAACACUGCCCCCUACCACCCCCGCCACGAUCCGCUCGCUCUCUCCCACCUCCAGGAACCUAUCUUUCCGCCCCCCUCUCAGCGGGCCCCGGGCCCACCUCCGCCGAAGCGGGCUCGCCGCGCGCCAGAGCCCCGGUGUGAUCCGCCGGUCGCGGCCGUGCCACGCCUGUUGCCGACGAGACAUCCCGAGGAUGGUGACGCCAGGGCGUUGCUGUCGCGAGAGGAGAUCGAGCGAAGGUCACCUUCGUGGAAGGACGGCAUCGACUCCGCUUUGGAGGCAAGGUUGCGCGCGUCCUACUGCGCCUACCUGCGCUGCCUCGGCUUCCGCCUUGGGCUGCCGCAGACGACUGUUGCGACGGCAGUGGUGUAUUGCCAUCGUUUUUUUUUCCACAGAUCCCAUGCCUGCAACGACAGAUUUUUGGUUGCGACUGCGGCAUUGUUUCUGGCGUCAAAGACAGAGGAAACAACAUGCCUUUUGAAUACUAUUCUUAGGGCUUCAUGUGAAGUUUCUGAAAACCAAGAAUUCAACCUCCUUCCUUACAUGUCGCGUGGUCAAAACUGGUUUGAACUGUACCGAGAAAGUGUAAUACAGGCGGAGCAGAUGAUACUGACAACACUUGAUUUUGAACUUGAAGUGGCCCAUCCAUAUACUUCACUUUCAUCUGCUUUGAGCAGACUAGGACUUUCACAUUCCGUUCUAUUUAACGUUGCCUUGAGUCUGAUUAAUGAAGGACAAUUAGGAUCAAAGGAUGACAUCCACAACUAACACAAAAGACUAUAUGGACUAUCACUCAUAGUUUGCUGUGUUGCAAUGUCAACUUGAUGUAAUUGUUGUUAGUUGAAGUUCCCAAAACUUUAUAAAGAUUCAUCCAGCAACUGUAUAUGUUUAUCUUAAUUUUCUCUUUUCAUAUACUUCAACGACAAAUAGGAGCUCAAUUUGAUGUAGAUUGUUGAUUCUAUGUAUAUGCAACCUUUCCAAAACUAUCCAAAAGCAAUUAUCCAUUCUGUGCAGAAGGUGUAUGCUAUUGCAAUGAUAGUAUAAAUUGUUUGCAUAACUAAUGCAGUGGUCUGCCAUAUUCAAGCAAUUGUAUAGAAUAACAAUCUUCAAGGAUAAAUAUUUUCAUAUUUCAAAAAGAAGAUAACCUUCUUGGAGGUAGAUAAUGUAGUUAUGUGGGAUUUCCAAAAGCAUCGGUUCAAAUUCCCCUGACAUUAGGUAAAUAUUGGCAUAUGGCCACGCUGUUCUGUGGACAUGAAAUCUAUGUGACAUAUGUGAGCAUGAGUUAAUUUUUUUUUUUGAAAAAUCGUCCACUCUUUGUAAAUUUGCAUUGAGACUAUGGUGUGCAUUAAUUCUAAAUCCCUAAAAGCUCUGUAGAGGAAGCUGUUAGUGGUACCUUUGUAUGGCGAGAUCGACCCCAUGCUAUGCUAGAUAGAAGGCCCAAGUCUUUACUUUCUAAGUAUGUGAAUGACAUGUAUGCCAUUGCAAAAGUGUGGAAAGUGUGAGAACACCAUCUCAAGACUUGGAAUUCCAAUCCACCAUACAGUUGUGAACACAGUGCUGAAGAAGCAUGUCAGGUGCUGUGAACAUGUAAUUUUGUUUCCACAAGAAUGCUACUCCCUCCGUCCUUUAAAGAGUGUACUUCCAACUUUGUUGGAAAGUCAAUUUUUUUAUGUUUGACCACAUUUAUACAAUAAUACAUCAAUAUUUAUGCCAUCAAAUUGGUAGCAUUAGAUUCAUGAUAAAAUGUAUUUUCAUCAUAUACCUAUUUGUUUCACAAACAUUGAUAUAUUUUUGCACAAAUUCGAUCAAACAUUGGCAUAGUUUGACCCUCCAACAAAGUUGGAAGUACACUCUUUGAAGGACGGAGGGAGUAUGCUACUGGUAGCAUGUCAAGUGUUGUGAACAUGCAAUUUUGUAUCCACAAGAAUGCUAUGAUACUGGUAUCAUGGCGCAAACAUAAGUUUGUUAAACCAUAUUUGCAUAGGACUAGUUCUGUUUUGCUGUCCUGAAUACAGUUUUAUUGUGCUAGCCCAUUUGAUAGCCUUUGUAAAUUGUUAUACUUCCUCAAGUCGCUCUCUUUUAUCGCUUGAUAUUUCAUGGGCUCUGGGAUGGAACUUCCGAAACUAUUUUCUGUGGUAACAUAUCUCUACUACCUUAAAAGUACGUUAUUCUGACAGAAUUUAUUGGGACAAAUUUACUCAAACUAUGUCUCCAUUCUGAGUCCUUUAACAUAUUAUUGUCCAAACAUAUAAAUUGUUAAGUUGCACUUCCAAUACAACAACAACGAAGCCCUUAGUCCCAAACAAGUUGGGGUAGGCUAGAGGUGAAACCCAUCAGAUCUCGCGACCAACUCAUGGUUCUGGCACAUGGAUAGCAAGCUUCCACGCACCCCUGUCCAUAGCUAGUUCUUUGGUGAUACUCCAGUCCUUCGGAUCUCUCUUUACGGACUCGUCCCAUGUCAAAUUCGGUCUACCCCGACCUCUUUUGACAUUACCCGCGCGCUUUAGCCCUCCGCUAUGCACUGGAGCUUCUGGAGGCCUGCGUUGAAUAUGCCCAAACCAUCUCAGACUAUGUUGGACAAGCUUCUAGUUCUCAAAAAAAGAAUGUUGGAUAAGCUUCUCUUCAAUUGGUGCUACCCCAACUCUAUCUCAUAUAUCACCAUUCCAGACUUGAUCCUUCCUCGUGUGGCCACACAUCCACCUCAACAUCCGCAUCUCCGCCACACCUAACUGUUGAACUUGUCCAACACUCAGCGCCAUUCAACAUUGCGGGUCGAACCGCCAUCCUGUAGAACUUGCCUUUUAGCUUUGUGGCACUCUCGUCACAGAGAAUGCCAGAAGCUUGGCGCCACUUCAUCCAUCUGGCUUUGAUGUGAUGAUUCACAUCUUCAUCAAUACCUCCAUCCUUUUGCAGCAUUGACCCCAAAUAUUGAAUGGUGUCCUUCUGAGGCACCACCUGUCCAUCCAGGCUAACCUCCUCCUAGCGCCUAGUAGUACUGAAACGGCACCUCAUGUACUCGAUUUUAGUUCUACUAAGCCUAAAACCUUUCGAUUCCAAGGUUUCUCCCCAUAACUCUAACUUCCUAUUGACCCCCGCCCGACUAUCAGCAACUAGCACCACAUCAUCCGCAAAGAGCAUACACCAUGGGUAUCUCCUUGUAUAUCCCUUGUGACCUAAUCCAUCACCAAGGCAAAGAUAAGGGCUCAAAGUUGACCCCUGAUGCAGUCCUAUCUUAAUCGGGAAAUCAUCAGUGUCGACAUCACUUGUUCGAACACUUUUCACAACAUUAUCGUGCAUGUCCUUGAUGAGGGAUAAGGGUAAUGUACUUUGCUGGGACUUCGAGUUUCUCCAAGGCCCACCACAUGACAUUCGGCAGUAUCUUAUCAUAAGCCUUCUCCAAGUCAAUGAACACCAUAUGCAAGUCCUUCUUUUGCUCCCUGUAUCUCUCCAUAAGUUGUCGUACCAAGAAAAUGGCUACCAUGGUCAACCUCCCAGGCAUGAAACCAAACUGAUUUUUGGUCACGCUUGUCGUUCUUCCCAUAGCUUCAUUGUAUGGCUCAUUAGCUUAAUUCCACGGUAAUUAGUACAACUCCGAACAUCCCCCUUGUUCUUGAAGGUUGGUACUAAUAUACUCCGUCUCCAUUCUUCUGGCAUCUUGUUUGCCCGAAAAAUGAGGUUGAAAAGCUUGGUUAGCCAUACUAUCGCUUUGUCCUGAGGCCUUUCCACACCUCAAUGGGGAUACCAUCAGGACCCAUCGCCUUGCGUCCUUUCAUCCUUUUUAAAGCCUCCUUGACCUCAGACUCCUAGAUUCGCCGUACAAAACACAUGCUGGUCUCAUCAAAGGAGUCGUCUAGUUCAAUGGUAGAACUCUCAUUCUCCCCAUUGAACAACUUGUUGAAGUACUCCCGCCAUCUAUGCUUAAUCUCCUCGUCCUUCACCAGGAGUUGGUCUGCUCCGUCCUUGAUGCAUUUAACUUGGCCAAUAUCCUUCACCUUCCUCUCACGGAUCUUGGCCAUCUUAUAGAUGUCCCUUUUGCCUUCCUUCGUGCCUAACCGUUGGUAGAGGUCCUCAUACGCCUGACCCCUUGCUUCACUAAUAGCUUGCUUUGCAGCCUUCUUCGUCAUCUUGUACUUCUCUAUGUUGUCUGCACUCCUAUCUAGGUAUAGGCGUCUGAAACAAUCUUUCUUCUCCUUAAUCGCCUUCUGGGCAUCAUCGUUCCACCACCAGGUGUCCUUAGCGUCGCUUCUCCUUCCCCUAGACACUCCAAACUCCUUCGAGGCCACCUUACGAAUGCAGGUCGCCAUCUUCAACCACACAUUGUCUGCAUCCCCUCCUUCCUCCCAAGGGCUUCUGAGCUACCUCCCUUGAACUUCUGAGCUACCUCCCCCUCGAGCUUCCACCACUUCGUUCUAGCGACUUUGGCACGCUUAUCCCGCUGGACACGAGUCCGAAAGCGGAAGUCGGCAACCACCAGCUUAUGCCGAGGGAUAACACUCUCUCUAGGUAUCACCUUACAAUCUAGGCACGCACACCUAUCUUCUCUUCUCGAGACGAUGAAAUCAAUCUGGCUAGAGUGCUGACCACUACUAAAAGUCACCAGACGUGAUUCCCUCUUUUUAAAGAGGGUGUUAGCUACGAUCAUGUCGUAAGCUAGAGCAAAGCUUAAGACAUCUCCUUCUUGAUUCCUGAUGCCAUAGCCAAAGCCCCCAUGCACCCCUUCAAAACCUGUGUUAGCUGUACCCACGUGGCCAUUGAGGUCUCCUCCUAUGGAGAGCUUCUCGCCAAUUGGUACACUCCUAACCAUGUCCUCUAGGCCUUCCUAGAACUCCCUCUUGGUGUUCUCAUUGUGGCCUAUUUGCGGGGCAUACGCGCUGAUAACAUUGAGAACUAAGUCCCCAACUACCAGCUUGACCAGGAUAAUCCGGUCCCCACGUCUCUUGACGUUUACCACUCCGUACUUGAGGCUCUUGUUGAUCAAGAUGCCUGCGCCAUUUUUGUUUGCAGCUAUCCCCGUGUACCACAACUGGAAGCCGGUAUCCUUCGCCUUUUGCCCCCCCCCCCCCCCCCCCCCCCCCCCCCCAAUUGGUUUCUGAAAGGAUAUCAACACCUCUCCUCACCGCUGCAUCAACUAGCUCCCAAAGCUCCCCUGUCAAAGACCCUACGUUCCAGAUACCUAAGCGGAUCCUCCUAGGCUGGCUAGCUUCCUUACCCUUCGCACUCGUCUAGUCAAAUGCGAAGACCGUUGACACCACACCCGGGUUCCGAUGUGGCGCGUUGCUGUGCCACAUGUAAAUGGAAAUUUGAUGGUGUGGUCGUGCUAGGGCUUGUUUCAAUAGUACAUAUCUGUAACAAAGAGUUUGAGAUGUCGAAUGACAUUAAGCAUCACUGAAAAAUUAUAUGAUGUAUGUGGUUUCUGUUCAAGUAUGCAUGCACAUUUAUGAGCAAGAUGAUUUUGUCGUGUCAGCUCCAGUAAGGUUUCUGUUGGACUAGUUUGAACUCUCAUGUGUGCAAGUGGAUGCCAUUCCAUUCUGUGUGCUGUAUGCAAUUUUGUGUUACACUGUUAGAAUUUCUGUAGUGGAUUGGUGCGGUUGUCAUAAAAGUGUAUUUUACAUCAUUAUGUGGUGUGAUGUGAUAUUUGGGACAAAUGAAAAUGUGAACUCAAGGAAGGAAAGAUUAUGCACCUAACGUCCAGACAUUAUCCUUUUCAUUUUAACUGAAGUCACACUUCUCGCAGCCUCGCUUCACUGCAACUGUUGAACCUUGACUGUUAGACAAUUCUUUAAGCUCGUAAUGUUAUUCUAACUUUAUUGGCACCUUUUUCUGGGAAUACAGUGACAACACAGUCCAAUUUAAGAAAAGAAGCACACCUUUCACACGAAACUUAUUUGCCAUUCUUUUGAGCUACUACAGAUGUAGGCUCUCAUGGCUGGUCCCUUGUUUUUUAUCACUGUCAAUUUGUGUAGUAUUAUAUAUUUUGCACAUUCAAGAUGUGAUUGUAACAUACAUGGUUGUUAUAUUUGUGAUCAAGCAGUUGCUCCUCUUUGUAUGCAACUUUGCUUAUGUUUGUACAUUUCUAUUUAGGCUAUAAAGUGGUCAUGCUAUGCUCGUUCCAUCAUUAGUGGAUCCCUUGGAAUUCCUGUUUAUAGAUGUCUCAGACUAUGAUUUCCUUCCUUUUUGCUUUACAAAAGGCAGCAUGUCACUGAAAAGCCCUAGUGCGUCAUUUUUCAUUUAUAAAGCGGUGGAAAAUGUACAUUGGUGCAUAUGUAAUAUGGUCCUUGAGAAGGUUAACUUCAUCUUUGGCAACAACGGCCAUAUAUGGAAGCACAGGCUGCAUGCUAUUUAAAAUCUUGCUUCAUGAUAUUAGAGUUGGUACAAAAAAAAAACCCUGAGAUUUGGUUAGUAAACGAGAACAAGUCCAAUGUUGCUUGGACAUGCUAUCUUUCCGUUCCGUGCUUUGCAAAUCUCAUCUUGUCAUGGUGAAAUGCAUUCACAAUCCCUGGGUUGGCAUAUGCUGCUGGAGAAUUAUUUGGUCAAAUAAUUGUUAUAUGCAUCACAAGAGGCAUGUGUAAUUGCUAGAGUUCAGCAAUAAAGCAAUCCUGCAGAUGGUUCUUCAAUAAUAUUAUCACCUGAAGCAUCUGUUAGUGGCUUCGGAGUUCUCUUUGGCUUCAGUUCAAACCUCAUCAUAUUGCGGCUGGAGCUGCAUUCCUUGCUGGAAAAUUCCUCCGCUAUGACAUAACCUUUCACCAAAAUUUCUGGCAUGAGUUCAAAACGACACCACAUAUUGUUCAAGAUGUUGUCCAACAGUUGAAGGAGCUACUUUAGAAUCGUAGAUUCCAUAUGCUUGCUUUUUAUACCAACAUAUCCUUUUACAUGGUUUAGUGGCCACUUUUAUACAAAUAUGUAUACCUGGAUAUGGUGGCAACACGUCUUGAACUACUGGACAGCAUUGAUAGUUUGAAAAUAUACUCGAAUCGGUUUUCAUUUUAUUUCUACGACUAAAGGGUGUUGCCAUGUCCAAAAAGGACAAAAGUUGUCAUUUCUGUUAUCAUUUCCCUUUUCUGUAAGUAGUGUGCUAUAUGUGGACGUAUGCAAGUUUUCUUUUUGAGCGUGAUACACAUUUAAUGAGUUCCAUCCGAUGUAUUUCCGAAACCAAUUAACCACCCUUUGAGCAAUUUGGAAGAAGUAUUUUUAAGCUGUUCAGCACAGCGAUCAAGAACUCUAAAGAGCACUAUCAAUUAACCACCCUUUGAGCAAUAGUUCAACUCUGUAUUUCAUGAGAAAAAAUCAUUAGUCCUUCAAAAUUCUGUUACAGGUUGUUUGGCACCCAUCAUUUGGCCCAGAAUUGGUGGAAUUCAAUUGCGAAUUCUGACACGUUUGGCUGCCCUGGAUUGGGCAUCGGAAUUCAUUCCUCAAUUCCAUAUGUCUGAAACGUUAUGUAAACCAAAUCCCGACUUGGAAGCCGUCAUUCGCCAAAUCCUCUCGCCCCUGACGCCCUCGUCUCCUUCGACCAUCCCCACCCACGAGAUCUGCCGCCGCCGCCCAGUCAAGAGGAGCCGGGCCGUCGGAGUCCAUCUCCACCAGCAGUGCAUCCUUGAAUCCAUCCAGGCCAAGGGACCCCAUCGAGCUCAUCUCCCCAACGCACUGACGUACCUCGUCGUCCAAGACCAGUGGCGUCUUCCCCUCAAUCGCGCCCUUCGCUGAACGCCCCUGUCGGCGACUCCUCCGUUCUCUCUUAAUUCCUCAUCGCUAUUACCGUCUCCAGUUGCUGUCUCCACUCCCUGGUCUUCAAUCUUCUGCUUGGAGGUAUGAGCAAUCUUUGGCUUGGUGGUAUGAGUCGGCUUGAAUGGCCUUUCAUGGCCAUUGGUUCGACAGCCAUAUGUUAGUACUAGUAGUGUAAUAAAUUAGUUUGUUUCUUAAUUAGUGUCAGUGAGCAUGGGCAUUACUGAUUGAUAAAAUUAUCUCUGCUCCUCUUGUUUAUCUGAUGACGAAGGCAUGGAAUGUAGCAGUGUGAAUAUUUCAGUUCUUCGAAACUGAAUCCAGACAUCUACUGUUUCGUGAUUAUUGUAAGAAAGCAUGUGCUAGUUAAAUAUCUAGUUCUCUGAAA